CGGAGCUAAUACCGGAUAGUUCCUUGAACCGCAUGGUUCAAGGAUGAAAGACGGUUUCGGCUGUCACUUACAGAUGGACCCGCGGCGCAUUAGCUAGUUGGUGGGGUAAUGGCUCACCAAGGCGACGAUGCGUAGCCGACCUGAGAGGGUGAUCGGCCACACUGGGACUGAGACACGGCCCAGACUCCUACGGGAGGCAGCAGUAGGGAAUCUUCCGCAAUGGACGAAAGUCUGACGGAGCAACGCCGCGUGAGUGAUGAAGGUUUUCGGAUCGUAAAGCUCUGUUGUUAGGGAAGAACAAGUGCGAGAGUAACUGCUCGCACCUUGACGGUACCUAACCAGAAAGCCACGGCUAACUACGUGCCAGCAGCCGCGGUAAUACGUAGGUGGCAAGCGUUGUCCGGAAUUAUUGGGCGUAAAGGGCUCGCAGGCGGUUUCUUAAGUCUGAUGUGAAAGCCCCCGGCUCAACCGGGGAGGGUCAUUGGAAACUGGGAAACUUGAGUGCAGAAGAGGAGAGUGGAAUUCCACGUGUAGCGGUGAAAUGCGUAGAGAUGUGGAGGAACACCAGUGGCGAAGGCGACUCUCUGGUCUGUAACUGACGCUGAGGAGCGAAAGCGUGGGGAGCGAACAGGAUUAGAUACCCUGGUAGUCCACGCCGUAAACGAUGAGUGCUAAGUGUUAGGGGGUUUCCGCCCCUUAGUGCUGCAGCUAACGCAUUAAGCACUCCGCCUGGGGAGUACGGUCGCAAGACUGAAACUCAAAGGAAUUGACGGGGGCCCGCACAAGCGGUGGAGCAUGUGGUUUAAUU
rnacentral:rRNA from 1 species